GACAGAGGGUGCAAACGUUGUUCGGAAUUACUGGGCGUAAAGCGCGUGUAGGCGGCUUCGCAAGUCGGAUGUGAAAUCCCACGGCUCAACCGUGGAAGUGCAUUCGAAACUGCAAGGCUAGAGUUCUGGAGAGGAAGGUGGAAUGCUUGGUGUAGAGGUGAAAUUCGUAGAUAUCAAGCGGAACACCGGUGGCGAAGGCGGCCUUCUAGACAGUAACUGACGCUGAGACGCGAAAGCGUGGGGAGCAAACAGG
rnacentral:rRNA from 1 species